rnacentral:lncRNA from 1 species
AUUGAUUGAGUUUUGUUAUCCUAAAUUGUUUGAACCUGCAGUUGUAGCUAUAAAGAUUGAUGUUUUGAAGAAACCCCUAAAUGAGAUGUAUGAAUGGUAUGCGUUACAUCAUCCAAUAAAACAUCAAGAUAACAUCAAUGGAUGAUUUUGCGCCCUGUGCUCCGGAGGUGUUGGGUAGUCUUCCUCAUUAUGCUGAUUAUAGCAAGUCGGGCACCCCUAUCAUUGUGAUGAUUUCGAGCCAUGUUAAUUUCCAGCGCCAAUGAAGCCGUUGUCUUGUUAGCCCCAUUAUGAAUUUCUUAGUUGAUGAGUAGCGUUCUUACCGUGGGCAAACUCAUGCAUGGUUUCCAGUUGUGAAGAAAUCACAGCUACAAUCGCCUCGAAAUUAGUAUUCAGACCACUCAAAAUAUAUAAGAUCGCCUCAGAAUCAAGAACGAUUACUCCAGUCGACCUCAAAUCUUCAAUUAGACCCAUCGCCUUGGAUAGGUAAGCCUCGAUUUGCAGAUCCUAGAGCCGGAGGUCGAUGCAUGGAUCUUCCAAAUCAGCUUCCAAGCCUUAGCCGUGUCGAUAUUCUUGCGCUUGCGACCUGUGCGAGAAUGUCGACUACGACGUUGAAAAAAUCCAGCCUAAAAUCAAUUGAUCUUGUUGGAUUCUCGCCUCUUCGUCGCCAAGAACCACCUCACCCUUAACAUAGGGAAAUAACCCAUGACCUCGCAGCAACGUCGUGAUUUGUGCUUGCCAUAUAUAUCCGCAAUUGGUGCUUCAGCUUGAUAAUAUUCAUCUGGACUAUCGUUCUGCUAAGUGUAGUGGGAUUGGCUAUGAACACCGGGGCAGUAUCUCAAAUAAUCAAAUAAUAGAGUGAAAGAAAUGAAAACUAAAUGAACAAUCGAGAACCUAACCAUGCAUCUGAUACAAUAUUAGAUUAGAAGAUUGAGUGAUUAUUC